GUCAGCAAUUCAAAGGAAGCUUUUCACAGUGGCGCAGGGAUGAGGAGACCUGGCUGCCCUAACUUUGUAGAACUCAGAAAUUCUCAGCGCCUCUGCUUAAGAUGAUGUCAUCAGGCAGCAAGGCGGGGCCAGGAUAAAGCGAAGCCUAUCAUUGGAUGAGAAGGAAGGGUAGGCGGAGAAAGUCUAGGAAAAAGGAGGAGGAGCCAAGAGACAAAGAUGGAGACAGGAGGAGGCGGAUUCCGAUCCAGGUGGUCUAGACACCAGUCUCGAAUCAGCAACGGCAGCUCGAUCUAGAAGAAUCCGUGAGGCUCUGUCAAUUGGCCCGAGCCCAGGGAAGUUGCUAGAGCACCACCGGAAGUUCUUUGGUGCGUCUCUCUCUAUGACGUCAUGACCGACAGUGAUCAGCGGAGGAGGUGAGGUGACCCAGUGCUACCCAGCAUCGCCCACUGUCUGUCGGGUGGUAGGUAGACCCCUUUCAAACGUCGUGAGUUCUUUCGAGCACCUGCUCUAGCGGAACAUCUCAUGUGUUUCCAGGAAACUUCCAGAAGAACACCACCUGUCUGUUUUCAGCAAAACAUCCUCCCAUGUGUCUGUCCCACAGGUCUGCUUCAGGAAGAAACAUCCUGACAUAAGACAGUUUUCCAAAAACAUCGCGCGACACAACUGAGUCUCCAAAACACCCAAACAUUCCCCCUUCACACCUCAGUCAACUUUUUUUUUUCUAGAAACAUCCUCACAGACAUGCCCAGAUAGUCUUACUUAGGUGAUUCUAAUUCCAGCCAAGUGCACAAUAAAUUAGCCAUGAUAGCCGGUCGUGGAGGCACACACCUUACCUCCUACCACUGGGGAGGCAGAGGACAAAGGUCUCUGUGAGUUCAAGACCAGCCUGGCCUAUGUCGAGAAUUCUAGGAUAGGUAGGGCGGGGUCGAGAGACCCAGGCUGAGAG
rnacentral:lncRNA from 1 species